rnacentral:ncRNA from 1 species
AUCCUGGCCUUAUUAUUGGCUGUUUCUCAACUUACACAUGCAAGUCUCAGCACACCCGUGAGAACGCCCUUUCAAACCUUUUUAGGUUAAGGAGCUGGUAUCAGGCACAAUUUCUGCCCAUCACACCUAGUCUCGCCACACCCCCAAGGGUACCCAGCAGUGAUAAAUCUUGUUUAUAAGCGACAGCUUGACUCAGUUAGAGAAAAGAGAGCCGGCCAACUCGGUGCCAGCCGCCGCGGCUACACCCCUGGGCCCAAGCCAAUAAAUCUCGGCGUUAAGCGUGAUUAAAGUUAUUACAGAUUAAGAUUAAAUUAACACUUAGUAGUGACAAGCUUGUGAUUAAGAAAAACACAAACGAAAGUUAUCUUAACUAUUACACUUGAAUACACGACAGUUGGAAUCACAAACUGGAAUUAGAUACCCCACUAUGCCCAACCGUAAACAAUUAAAUUACAUCUUCAAGCGCCAGGGAAUUACGAGCAAUGCUUAAAACCCAAAGGAUUUGACGGUGUCCCACCCACCUAGAGGAGACUGUUCUAUAAUCGAUGAUCCCCGCUAUACCCAACCACUUCUAGCUACUCAGUCUGUAUACCUCCGUCGAAAGUCUACCAUGUGAACGUCCUAAGUAGGCUCAACGUCCUCAUCAAUACGUCAGGUCAAGGUGCAACUCACGAAGUGGGAAGUAAUGGGCUACAAUUUCUAAUCUAGAACAAACGAAAGGCUGUGUGAAAUCACAGUCACGAAGGCGGAUUUAGUAGUAAAAAGAAAAUAGAGAGUUCUUUUUAAUCUGGCUCUGGGACGCGUACACACCGCCCGUCACCCUCUUCGACUAUACUAUUUUAGUUUUUAACCCACCCAACUUAGACAAGAAGAGGCAAGUCGUAACAUGGUAAGUAUACUGGAAAGUGUACUUGGAUUAANN